rnacentral:lncRNA from 1 species
UACCAGCGUCUUAGUGGUUUACAACAACCCUCACUUCCUGUUUUUGUUCACAGGUCUGCAAGACAGCUUUGGUUCAGCUGAUUGCAGCCAGGCUUACCCUGACUUUGCCGGGUGCUGUGAACCCCAGCCUUCAGGUCGAGUUCAGUGCUCUACUCAACGUUUGCUAGUGGUGGCCCCCUCCACCUUGUGUGUGUAGUAUGUCCAAGCCAUCUCUUGGCAGCCAGGACCAUCGGCACACUAGCAAGUUCACGGACUCAGGUGUGUGUCUCUGGGCGUGCCUCUGAUCCUUCUAUCCUGCCCACACCUCUGAAACUCUCUGCAUUUGAACCUCCUGUAUUGGAUUCUGUUUCCUGCUGGGGUGUCGAUGGGUGGGAUUUGUUCAUUCAUGAUUUUUCAGCCCCAUUUGUCUUCUGUCUGUUUGUCCCAGGCACCUGGGGGAAUCACUCCUACCUAAUGGAGAGGGAAGGGAGUCCAUGAUUAUGGAAUGAUGUGAUAAACAAAACAUGAAAGGAGAGAGGGAUUACUUCUCCCUCUGAUCCCAAGGAAGGCUGCCUGGAGGGGGAAGCACUGGUGUUGUACGGGGAGCAGAGUUUGGUGAGUGAAGAAGGGGUGGAAUAGGAUAAAAACCACAGCAAAGAGCUCUCAAAGCAA